GCCAGGUUAGCACAAUGGUAGUGCAACGGUUUUGUAAACCGUAGGUUGGGGGUUCGACUCCCUUACCUGGCUCCA
rnacentral:tRNA from 1 species